GUUCAAUAAUCUGAGCCUCAAAUUGAUGAAGGAUGGCUCAUUACAGAUGAACAACGGGGGGUAGAUGACUCAACAAGAGAGGAUCAUGACUUACAAAAGGGCGGGCUAAAAGUACACUUUUUGUCUUUCAUUUUUCUUUCUUUUUUCCAGAUUUUUUCUUAUUCCUUUUUCUUAAAAAAAAUAUUUUUAAUCCUUUUGCAAAAUCUUUUUUGGUAACUAGGAUUUGGGGCCU
rnacentral:misc_RNA from 1 species